rnacentral:rRNA from 1 species
AGUGAACGCUGGCGGUAGGCCUAACACAUGCAAGUCGAACGGCAGCACAGUAAGAGCUUGCUCGUACGGGUGGCGAGUGGCGGACGGGUGAGGUAUACAUCGGAAUCUACUUUUUCGUGGGGGAUAACGUAGGGAAACUUACGCUAAUACCGCAUACGACCUACGGGUGAAAGCAGGGGAUCUUCGGACCUUGCGCGAUUGAAUGAGCCGAUGUCGGAUUAGCUAGUUGGCGGGGUAAAGGCCCACCAAGGCGACGAUCCGUAGCUGGUCUGAGAGGAUGAUGCGCCACACUGGAACUGAGACACGGUCCAGACUCCUACGGGAGGCAGCAGUGGGGAAUAUUGGACAAUGGGCGCAAGCCUGAUCCAGCCAUACCGAGUGGGUGAAGAAGGCCUUCGGGUUGUAAAGCCCUUUUGUUGGGAAAGAAAAGCAGCAGGUUAAUACCCCGCUGUUCUGACGGUACCCAAAGAAUAAGCACCGGCUAACUUCGUG